CGUGAUGUCUGCCCAGUGAUUAAUUGAUUUUGAUUAAACGGCCGCAGUACUUUGACUGUGCUAAGGUAGCAAAAUAAAUUGGCUUCUAAUUAAGGUCGAGUAUGAAAGGCAUAAUGGGUAAAAGCUGUCUCUUUGAUUUAGAUUGGAAUUUAUUUAAUAGGUGAAAAUACCUAUAAGUUCAUAUUAGACGAGAAGACCCUUAGAGUUUUUAAGAUUUAAGUUGUCUAUUCACUUAGCUUAUGAUUUUUUGUUGGGGCGACAAAGUAUCAUAAAUUUAACAUACUUACAAUUCUGAAAUUGGGAGAACAAGACUUUUUUAAAUAUGAAUAUAACUACCUAAGGGAUAACAGCAUAAUUUAAUAUUAAGAUUGUGACCUCGAUGUUGGACUAGGGACUAAGUGUAUUAGUCAUAC
rnacentral:rRNA from 1 species